GUAAGCCUAGGAAGUUGUAUGAAAUUUCCUGGAGAGGUGACAAGAAAGUCGCUGAGGGUCCUGCCGGCGAGGGAGGCACCUCAGCGGCUGUGUUUCGGGAAACGGCACGCUAGAUCGUCACCGAAGCAGCGGCCGCCCGCGUGGCCGGCUGGUGGGAGUGGACCGAGGCCGCAGUGCUGCACUCACCUGUUCGUAGAGUCCCUGCUCGCCGCCGAUCACAGUUUAAACAUGUCUUAAACAGGUUUCUGCUUCUGGCAGACACAUCUGAGUAUAUCAGUUGCUGACUACAGGCUGUCCCUAAGUAGACUGUGAGCCCUGGACUUGCUGUGGAUGUGAACCAGUCCAGCUGAUGUGGACACCUCCUGUCUCUGCAACAGAAUCUGCCAACCAGAAGCUCCUGAUGGAAUCCCCAUUGCCUAAAUUCCCUUUUUUGCUUUUGACUAGCAUUUCAGCCUUCCUGGGUCCCUAACUUCGUCCCAAAGUCAGCAGGAAGUAGCAUGGGAAAGAAUAUGUUGUCCAUCUUCCCUGGUUGAAAUGCUAAAUCAGAAGGAACUCCCUUGCAUGGGGAUGCCAAUAUCUCUCACUCCCUGAUGGGGAUGCUAGAGAAACAGCAAUUCCAUGAUUGGAAUUUCUAAAAAAAAAAAAAAUGGGGGAAUGAAGGGACCAGCUCCCCAUUUCAGCAGCCAUAACAGCCAAACACGUGCUUGUGUGACCUUGCCUUAGUCACUAGGAGGUCAGAUGCCUGCCUCGUGACAAGGAACCAAUCAGAAGUUAGCUGGUGGCGCUAUGCUUCAUGGCUCUGGGUGUGCCUUACGGACAACUGCACAGCAAUGACAUACAGAGCAUAGCAACCACCCUGGGAGGGCCUAUGGGCCAUAACAACCAGUUGACCAAUCAACACAGGGCAAACCCUCCAAGCCUAGAGGCACACCAAUCCUGAGCCUGUGUGUACCCCUAGACACUCCCCUUAUGCUGCCCUACAAGAUCUCUAUGCAGCUGCUUCGAGCUGUCUUUCCUAGCCAUCCGCCAUGGUGGGUGGAUGAAAGACCCGAGCU
rnacentral:lncRNA from 1 species